rnacentral:rRNA from 1 species
UACGAAGGGGGCUAGCGUUGCUCGGAGUCACUGGGCGUAAAGCGCACGUAGGCGGCUUUCUAAGUCAGGGGUGAAAUCCUGGAGCUCAACUCCAGAACUGCCUUUGAUACUGGAGAGCUUGAGUCCGGAAGAGGUGAGUGGAACUCCGAGUGUAGAGGUGAAAUUCGUAGAUAUUCGGAAGAACACCAGUGGCGAAGGCGGCUCACUGGUCCGGUACUGACGCUGAGGUGCGAAAGCGUGGGGAGCAAACAGG